rnacentral:rRNA from 1 species
AUUGAACGCUGGCGGCAGGCCUAACACAUGCAAGUCGAACGAGUGGCGGACUGGUGAGCAAGUUCUGGGCAACUGCCUGACGGAGGGGGAUAACUAGUGGAACCGUUAGCUAAAACAGCAUACAGUCUGAUGUGCCCCCAGGGGAUUAGCUAGUCGGUGGGCUAACGGCUCACCUAGGCGUCGAUCCUUAGCGGGUCUGAGAGGAUGACCAGCCACAGUGGAACUGAGACACGGUCCAGACUCCUACGUGAGGCAGCAGUAGGGAAUAUUGCGCAAUGGGCGCAAGCCUGAUGCAGCCAUGCCGCGUGUAUGAAGAAGGCCUUCGGGUUGUAAAGUACUUUCCGCGGGGAGGCGUUACCCGCAGAAGAAGCACCGGCUAACUACGUGCCAGCAGCCGCGGUAAUAC